GACGAACGCUGGCGGCGUGCCUAAUACAUGCAAGUAGAACGCACAGUUUAUACCGUAGCUUGCUACACCAUAGACUGUGAGUUGCGAACGGGUGAGUAACGCGUAGGUAACCUGCCUGGUAGCGGGGGGUAACUAUUGGAAACGAUAGCUAAUACCGCAUAAUAUUGAUUAUUGCAUGAUAAUUGAUUGAAAGAUGCUAUUGCAUCACUACCAGAUGGACCUGCGUUGUAUUAGCUAGUAGGUGAGGUAACGGCUCACCUAGGCGACGAUACAUAGCCGACCUGAGAGGGUGAUCGGCCACACUGGGACUGAGACACGCCCCAGACUCCUACGGGAGGCAGCCGUAGGGAAUCUUCGGCAAUAGACGAAAGUCUGACCGAGCAACGCCGCGUGAGUGAAGAAGGUUUUCGGAUCGUAAAGCUCUGUUGUAAGAGAAGAACGGGUGUGAGAGUGGAAAGUUCACACUGUGACGGUAUCUUACCAGAAAGGGACGGCUAACUACGUG
rnacentral:rRNA from 1 species